rnacentral:lncRNA from 1 species
GCGGCGGCUCCUACUCCCGCAGCUAGGGCUGCCUCUCAGCGCACCCCUGCACUUCUUCUUUAGACCUGUGCCGCCCGCCUCGCCCCUACUCACUUGCAGCUCUCUCAAUCGGAAAGGCGGCGGCGGUCGCUGAGCCCACCGAGCGCUCGCACGGCGCGCAGUCCGAUUCCCUUUGUUAGGGUCGGGCAGUGCCAGGGCGGCUCCCCAACCCAGGCUGGCGCUCAACUCCACUCCCCCAGGUGCCUCUGGAUCUUGCCGGGCCGAGGGAGAAGAGCCCGGGACUCAAGCUCCGAAUGUUCUGGAGUCCUGCGACCUGGAACUCUCGCAGUAGGUAGAUUCUUGAAGAUGGAAGGAGGAGCGAGGACUUUAAGUGAGAAUCACAGACUGACUUGGGAGCUGACAACAGUGGAGAUCGCUUAAGCACCUGAACUGUGACGCUGACACAGGAAAUGAAGAAAAGGCAUCUAGACAAGAAUCACCAAAGAUGCAGUGCUGGUUUCAGUGUUAUACACAGUAAGGUGUUAAACCCACUUGUGGAUGAGGAAAUUAAGUCACCCAGGCCCUUGAGAAAUCUCAGUAUCCCUCACGUUCAUUGAAAGCCUCAAUCCUUUCUUUCAACCUCCCUCUUGUUUCCACUCAAUUUAAGAACUAAGAACCAUACAAUAGGAAAGAGACUGUUUUAAAAUGGGAUACAGCAUCUACUCUUAAGUUCUAUUUUCUAGAACUCUAACCAGUCAAUGGGGGGGAAAUGGAAGGGGUUCACUCUGGGUUUUGAACUUGCCACAUUGAUAAUACCCACACACUGUGGCAAACCUAAAAAGAAGCGCUGGGGGGGGGGGUCUAGAACAGAUAAAUAGACAUGUAGGGAUAUUCCCAGAAAAACUGCAGGGGCAUCACCAUCUGGUAGCUUUCCAAAGUGGCUCUUUCAUCAGUAAGGCCUUCUGACCUGCAAUGAGAGACAAAAUGUUGAACUAUAUCUCAGGACUAUAGAGCUGCAGGCUACAGGAAUAUAGUUCAUCAUGCUGGUCGGGG